GCCUCAGCAGUUAAAACGCUGGUCUCCCAUGUCAGAGAACCAGGGUUCAAUUCCCUGCUCUGGCU
rnacentral:tRNA from 1 species